AUCUGACAGCCUGGGUCAGCACCCACACCCCCAGGUGAGCAUCUGGCAACCUGGAACAGCAUCUACAGCCCCAGGUGACCAUCUGACAGCCUGAAGCAGCACCCACACCCCCAGGUGAGCAUGUGACCACAUGGAAUGUCAUCCUCACCUCCAGGUGAGCAUCGGACAGCCUGGAACAGAAUUCUCAAGCCCCAGGUGAGCAUCUGACAGCCUGAAACAGCACCCUCCACCUUCAGGUGAGAAUAUGACAGCCUGAAACAGCACCCCGCACCCAGGCAAAAAUCUGACAGCAUGGAACAAGACUACUGCCCCCAGGUGAACAUCUGAUAGCCUGGAACAGAACCCCAGGCCUCCCAGUAAGCAUCUGAAAGCAAGGAACAGCACUCUCACCCCCAGGGGAGCAUCUGACAACCUAGAACAGCACCCUCACCCCGAGGUGGGCAUCUGGCAGCAUAAAACAGCACCCCUACUGGCAGAUGAGCAUAUGACAGCCUGGAACAGCACCCACACCCGCUGGCGAGAAUCUGACAGCCUGGAGCAACACCCACACCCCCAGGUGAG
rnacentral:lncRNA from 1 species